GGGUUGUGAGGUUAAGCGACUAAGCGUACACGGUGGAUGCCCUGGCAGUCAGAGGCGAUGAAGGACGUGCUAAUCUGCGAUAAGCGUCGGUAAGGUGAUAUGAACCGUUAUAACCGGCGAUUUCCGAAUGGGGAAACCCAGUGUGUUUCGACACACUAUCAUUAACUGAAUCCAUAGGUUAAUGAGGCGAACCGGGGGAACUGAAACAUCUAAGUACCCCGAGGAAAAGAAAUCAACCGAGAUUCCCCCAGUAGCGGCGAGCGAACGGGGAGGAGCCCAGAGCCUGAAUCAGUGUGUGUGUUAGUGGAAGCGUCUGGAAAGGCGCGCGAUACAGGGUGACAGCCCCGUACACAAAAAUGCACAUACUGUGAGCUCGAUGAGUAGGGCGGGACACGUGGUAUCCUGUCUGAAUAUGGGGGGACCAUCCUCCAAGGCUAAAUACUCCUGACUGACCGAUAGUGAACCAGUACCGUGAGGGAAAGGCGAAAAGAACCCCGGCGAGGGGAGUGAAAAAGAACCUGAAACCGUGUACGUACAAGCAGUGGGAGCCUCUUAAUGGGGUGACUGCGUACCUUUUGUAUAAUGGGUCAGCGACUUAUAUUCUGUAGCAAGGUUAACCGAAUAGGGGAGCCGAAGGGAAACCGAGUCUUAACUGGGCGUUAAGUUGCAGGGUAUAGACCCGAAACCCGGUGAUCUAGCCAUGGGCAGGUUGAAGGUUGGGUAACACUAACUGGAGGACCGAACCGACUAAUGUUGAAAAAUUAGCGGAUGACUUGUGGCUGGGGGUGAAAGGCCAAUCAAACCGGGAGAUAGCUGGUUCUCCCCGAAAGCUAUUUAGGUAGCGCCUCGUGAAUUCAUCUCCGGGGGUAGAGCACUGUUUCGGCAAGGGGGUCAUCCCGACUUACCAACCCGAUGCAAACUGCGAAUACCGGAGAAUGUUAUCACGGGAGACACACGGCGGGUGCUAACGUCCGUCGUGAAGAGGGAAACAACCCAGACCGCCAGCUAAGGUCCCAAAGUCAUGGUUAAGUGGGAAACGAUGUGGGAAGGCCCAGACAGCCAGGAUGUUGGCUUAGAAGCAGCCAUCAUUUAAAGAAAGCGUAAUAGCUCACUGGUCGAGUCGGCCUGCGCGGAAGAUGUAACGGGGCUAAACCAUG
rnacentral:rRNA from 1 species